CAGAGGAUGAGAGCAUGCAGGUUUUCCAAUUUAUUGAUUUAGAGGAGGGGGAGGCGCUUCAAGAGGACCCAAAACAAAACAGGAGACACCAGAAAUAGAAGGAAAUUGCAAAAUCGCAAAGGCCCUGUUCAUAAUUGACAACAGUUCUUUCUGUUUCAAUUGCUAAAUCAAGUUCGAUUGAUUGCGAAGAGGAAAGACAGCGCGGGCAAGGCGAUGCAAAAACCGAAAGCAGUUCUCUUCAGAACCUGACCUUUCAAUGCUGAAUCUAUAGUAAGGUUCCUUCCAUUCAGAACCUUACUCUAGAUUCAGCAUUGAAAGGUCUUUGCUUGAUCGCGAAGGACUAUGAGAAAGGAAGAUAUCUUCUAGAUGCAAAAUAUCAAUUUCGAUGGAAAGGUCUUACUAUAGAUGAACACUUCUCAUAAGAACAGUACCCAAGUUCAUAAUAACUGUUCAUCCAUUUGGGUUCUCAAAUUAACAUCUUCUUCAUCAUUGGGUGCUAAAUAUUAAUCGGUUUCAGAAGCAACAAUGAGAAUGACGAGGAAACAAAGAGGAAAGAAGCAGCCAACAUGGAGGAUCACAACUUCACAAGUAAUUAUGACAAACAACUUUAAUUAUGACAACAAACUUGGAGAAGGAGGAUUUGAAAGUGUCUACUGGGUCAGCUUUGGGAUGGAUCACAAGAUAUAUCUUUAGGAAUCUUUGGGAAUUACUUGGAUGUCUUCUUGUUUAUUUCGAAAACGUAUUUUAAUUGUUAUAUUCUAGCCUGUAAAAAAAAAAAAAAAAAAAGUCUAUGGCUUCUAACUUAUGGCAUACGACUUUCAUUAUUGAUUCGUAUUCCAGCUUUCAUUUAUAAGGCUGGCAAGAACUCUUGGGUGAAAAGCCUCAGUAUCUAACCGUAGCUUACAGCUUAUAGUUGUUGAAAAGAAAGUUGGUUUCGGGGUUCAUUGAUUAGUACCCCUUCGGUGCUGGUAAGGUUGGGAGCAUGGUCGUCCAUCUCUGCUUGGCCACAAAUCUGAGAGAAGGUUGUUGCGAUAAUGACAUCUGGUUUGUCUUUAAAAUAAUGAAAUGAAGAAUUUCACUACAUUGAUUGUGGAUAUAACCUGCCAUGGGUUUUGCUUAUAACUUGCCAUGGGUCAAAGGCCACGUUUGAACAUGUACCUCCAUUUUCAGUUCGAAAGGAGUUCACACAUAUAUUCUCCUUCAGCAUUGUUUUAGUUAUCCAACAGGUAUCAAGUCUAUGCUCAUACUUUAGGUUGCCCUUGAUUGGUAUAUUGUUUAGUACAAAUACAUUUAUUUUUUAUUAUUCUUCAUAUAUUAUUUCUCUAUCGCCUUCUAUUACGACCGGAGUGCUGUUCAUUUGGUAAUGGGGAAUAUGUAAAAGCUGGUUUGGCUGAGUUAGAGCAUUGGUGCUAUGAAGCAACAGAUGGUACCUUGAAACUAUCUCUAACUUGGCUUAUUGUAUUGUAAACUCUUAUAGAAUAAACAAAAAUGUAGUAUGCAGGUUCAGCUUGGGAUGAACUCGAGCAUACUAGGCAAGCCAUUGGAUU